rnacentral:lncRNA from 1 species
UCCAUGUAUCUUAUUAUUCUAUCAUCUGUUCAUGGGUCAAAGAAAAAUACGUAAGUUGAAAAGCUUACUUCAUGAUAUUAUUCAAAGUCAUAAUGGUCUUAUGACACUCCAAGAAAUCUUAUUGACGUACUUCUCAUGUAUUGCAUUCAUGUACAUUAACCCAUGACCAAAUGACAUUAUAUAUGUGUGUGUGUAUAUAUAUAUAUAUAUAUAUAUAUAUAUAUAUGGAAAAAGGUUACGGCGUUAUAUAUACACCACGACCUGAUCAGCUGGUAUAUGUUAAUAAUUUGCCUACAGUAGCCGAGAUGAUAUGAUGGGAUGCCCUCAGAGGCUUGAUGAAGUUAUGAACACAUAUACCCAUGCAUGGUAUGGCAUUUAUACGUAUACGCAUGACAUUUUAAAUAUUAAAGGAUUUCACAGAGCUGUUCAGAUUUACAUGUCGAGUCUUUUACUCCAUGUUUAUUUCAUAUCUAUUGUUUACUGAUUUUCAUUCCUUACAUACUCGAUACAUUAUUUGUACUGACAUCCCAUUUGCCUGGGGACGCUGUAUUUCAUGCCCGCAUGUCCCUAUAGAUAGGUUGAGAGUCCUUCAAGUAUGCUAUCAGCUCAGUGGAAGAUGUUGGUGCGCUCUAUUUGCUCCGGAGUUGCUUAUUUGGUCAGUAUGAUUAGUAUAUGCAUUGAUUGGUUUGGCGGGGAUCUAUCCCAACCUUUACGAUAUUAUGUAUUCUUAGAGGAUUGUAUACAGAUGUCAUGAAUAUGGAUUCUUUUAUGGCCUUGUCGGCCUAUGUUUGAGUAUAUAAAAGAUCAUGCCGACCUUAAAGGCCCGUACGUUAUAUGUAAAAUUUUAGAUUACAUGUUGGAUCGUCUAAUGUCGAGUAUCCAUGUUUUAUUCUACUUAUCUCACGAUAGCCUCUCUGGCUCAUUUACCCAUGAUAGCAUGAUACGAAAGAUACAUUACAUAGGUACUCGGUUGAGUAAGGUACCGGGUGCCCGUCGCGGCCCAUUAGUUUGGGUCAUGAUAUAUAAGGUAUUAGUAAACUACUCCUUAUUCAUCUCCUAUCGUGCAGUUGGUGGUGUACUAAGUUUCUUUCUCUUAUUCUCUUACAGAUGGUGAUAACACGCACGACCGAUGUUCUGGACCAAGGAUAGAUGCUCCACCUAUUACUAGAGGCCGAUGUAGAGGCCGGGGGAGGGCACCAGCCUGUGGAAGGGGAUGAGGACGCCCCAGAGUUGUCCUAGUUGCACCACCAGCGGAUCCAGUGGAGGGUUCCAUUUUUGAGGAGCAGGGAAAGGUGCCCACAGUAGAGCCGACCCUAAUCGAUUUCAUGUUAGCACCGGGCUUUCAAGAGGUCAUGAGUCGUAUGUUGUGGUUCAUGGAUACUUUGACCCAGGCUGGUUUAUUUUUAGCAGACCCAACCACAUCUCAAGCGGGAGGGGGAGCACAGACCCUUGAUGCUCAGGCUCCUGGGCAUGCAGCUGUUGUAUAUCAGACCCUGGGCACACUACUCAUGGGCGGGGCCCAGCCAGUAGCAGCAGCCAUACCUAAGCCUAGACCAGCUACGGCCGGCAAGCCACACAAGCUAUUGGAUAGAUGGACUAGGCUACACCCUCCUGUCUUCGGAGGUAAGCGACAUGAGGAUCCCUAGGACUUCAUUGAUCGGUGCAGGGAUAGACUGCACAAUAUGAGGAUAUUGGAGUCCCAUGGAGUGGACUUCACUAGUUUCCAGUUGGAGGGUAGGGCCCGUAGGUGGUGGCAGUCUUAUCUUCUCGGCAGGCCAGUGGGUUGUCCUCCCAUGACUCGAGACCAAUUUACAUGCUUGUUGCUAGACAGGUACAUUCCACCCUCUUAGAGGGAAGAGUUGUGGUUUCAGUUUGAGCAGUCUAGCAGGGUCAGCUGUCUGUGACUAAUUAUAAGGCGAGAUUCUCUGAGUUGUAUCGCAAUGCACUUAUGAUACUUCCUACUGAGGCAGAGCAUGUGUAGAGGUUUGUUACAGGGUUGCACUCAGGUAUUCAGGCUACUAUGGCACGAGAGGUUGAGAUGGAUACUUCUUAUCAGCUAGUAGUGGAGAUAGCUCGGAGGAUGAGGGCUACCCUUAGAGGGGUAGAAAGCAGAUGCAGCAGGACAAGAGGCCCUGUUUUUCUAAAGAAUUUAGAGGUGCCCCAACUGGGGGUAGAGGUCAGUUUGGGAGGUGUCAGCCUAGCCGACCCACAUAUCUAGCACUACCACCUCCUUAGAGUGCUAUGGCACAACCUUAUUUCAGCGCCAUGCCAUAGAGUUCUUACCACCCACCAGCCAUUCAGGGUUCAUCUAGUGGGUACUCCGGUCAUUAGGGUUCUUCCACUGCUUGCUUCAGUGCCAUGCCAAAGAGUUCAUACCGCCCACCAGUUAUUCUGGGCUCUUCUAAUGGGUAUUCAGACCAUCAGGGUCAGACUCUAGGGCAGCAGAUCACCACACCGAGAAGUUAUUUCAAGUGCGGAGAUUUUGCCUUAGGCUUCAAGGCAAGGCAGUGCAGCAGGGCCAACUGCCCAUAAUUCCAGCACCAGCUGUUCGGCCGCCCAGAGGCGGAGGGCAGGCAGGUAGGGGUCGUCCUAAACGUGGAGGCCAGGCAGGGAGAGGUAAACUAGCUACUAUUCAGUCAGGCGGAGGCCAGCCAACCGGCGCUCCAUCCAGAUUCUAUGCCUUUUCGGACAGACCAGAUGUAGUGGCCUCGAUGUCGUGAUUAUAGGUAUUAUUUUUGUUUGCUGUAGGGAUGCUUUGGUAUUAUUUGAUCCAGGGUCUACCUAUUCAUAUGUGUCAUCUCUGUUUGCUCAUUUCCUGGAUAUUCCUCGCGAGUCCUUGGGCACUCCUGUUUAUGUGUCCAUUCCUGUGGGCGAUUCUGUCAUAGUGGAUUGGAUCUUUUGGUCUCGUGUGGUUACAUUAUGUGGUUACGAUACUAGAGAGGACCUUCCGUUGCUUGAUAUGACCGACUUUGAGGUCAUCCUGGGCAUGGACUGGCUAUCCCCAUUUUAUGCCAUGCCAAAACUAUUACUUUAGCAAUGCCAGAGUUGUCAAGAUUGGAGUGGAAGGUUUCAUCUGUCAGUACAUCUAGUCGGGUUAUCUAUUUUCUGAAGGCUCGACACAUGGUCGAGAAAGGCUAUUUGACUUAUCUAGUUUAUGUUCGGGAUACUAUCACGGAGACUCCAGCGAUUAAUUCGGUGCCAGUAGUCUAGGAGUUUGCCAAUGUGUUUCCUUCUGACCUUCCAAGCAUGCCACCAGAUCGUGAUAUUGAUUUCUGCAUUUACUUGGCUCCAGGUACCCAGCCUAUAUCUAUCCUACCAUACCGUAUGGCUCCGAAAGAGUUGAAGGAUUUGAAGGAGAAGCUUGAGGAGUUACUAGCAAAUGGGUUCGUCAGGUCAAGUGUGUCACCUUAGGGUGCACCAAUGUUAUUUACGAAUAAGAAAGACGGAACCAUGCGGAUGUGCAUUGAUUACCGCUAGUUGAACAAAGUUACCAUUAAGAACAAGUACCCACUUCCGCAUAUUGAUGAUUUGUCACCAGUUGCAGGGUGCUAGGGUGUUCUCUAAGAUCGAAUUAAGAUCGGGGUACCAUCAGUUGGAGAUUUAGGACUUAGAUGUUCUGAAGACUGCUUUCCGUACUAGAUAUGGCCAUUAUGAGUUUCUAGUGAUGUCCUUCAACUUGACUAACACCCCAGCUGUAUUUAUGGAUUUGAUAAAUAGGGUUUUUAGGCCUUAUAUUGAUUCGUUUGUCAUGGUCUUCAUUGAUGACAUUUUUAUCUAUUCGCGUAGCAUGGAGGAGCACGAGCAGCAUUUGAGAGUGGUACUUCAGACCUUGCGGGAACAAAAGUUAUAUGCUAAGUUCUCUAAGUGUGAGUUUUGGCUAAAUUCUGUGGCAUUCAUGGGACAUGUUGUAUUAGACGAGGGUAUUAAGGUGGAUCCCAAGAAGAUUUAGGCAGUUCAGAACUGGCCUCAUCCCACUUCGGCGACUGAGAUCAGGAGUUUCUUGAGGUUAGCAAGUUAUUAUCGACAAUUUGUGGAGGGCUUCUCAUCCGGUUGCAGCACCUUUGACUAGGUUGACUCAGAAGGGUGCUUAGUGCUGUUGGUCCGAUGAUUGUAAAGCGAGCUUUUAGAGGCUCAAGACAGUUUUAACUACCUCACCGGUUCUAGUGUUUCUUUACGGUUUGGUGAUGUAUACUGUGUAUUGCGAUGCUUCACGCAUUAGUUUGGGAUAUGUAUUGAUGCAGGAGGGGCAAGUUGUUGCAUAUGCUUCAUGUCAGCCAAAGAUCCUUGAGAAGAAUUACCAUGUGCAUGAUUUAGAUUUAGCCGCGAUUGUUCAUGCUCUUAAGAUCUGGAGGCAUUAUCUCUAUGGGGUAUCCUGUGAGGUUUAUACUGAUCAUCGCAGCUUGCAACAUUUGUUCAAGCAAAGGGAUCUCAAUUUGAGGUAGCGCAUAUGGCUUGAGUUACUGAAGGAUUAUGACAUCACCAUUCUUUAUCAUCCGGGCAAGGCGAAUGUAGUCGCGGAUGCCUUGAGCAGAAAGGCAGAGAGUAUGGGUAGCUUGGUAUUCAUUCAGUAGAGGAGAGACCAUUAGCUUUUGAUAUUCAGUCUUGGGUAACAGACUUGUGAGGUUGGAUAAUUCAGAGCACAACCGAGUUCUUGCAUGCGUCGUUGCCUAGCCUUAAGUAUUGGAGUAGAUCAAGGCCCGAUAGUUUGAUGAUCUACAUUUGAUGGUUCUCAGAGAGACUGUACUAUAGGGUGGUGUUAAGGAGGUUUCUACCAGUGAGGAUGGUGUUCUAUGACUCUAUGGUCGUCUAUAUGUUCCUAAUAUCGAUAGCUUGAGAGGGAGGAUUCUAGAGGAGGCACACAGUUCUCGGUAUUUCAUUUAUCCAGGUGCUACGAAGAUGUAUCGCGACAAAAUUUCUGAUGGUGGCGGAUGAAGAAAGACAUAGUUGAGUAUGUAGCUAGGUGCCUAAAUUUUCAGCAGGUUAAGUGUGAGCACCAAAGGCUAGGCGGCCUACUCCAGCAGAUGACUAUACUAGAGUGGAAAUGGGAGCGCAUUACUAUGGACUUAGUAGUUGGGUUACCGCAGACCUUACGGAAGUUUGAUGCAGUUUGGGUCAUUGUUGACAGGUUGACCAAGUCGGCACACUUCAUUCCAGUCGUGGCUACGUAUACUUUAGAGAGGUCGGCCUAGAUUUAUAUUCAGGAGAUAGUUCGGGUGCAUGGUGUGCCUGUUUCCAUCAUAUCAAAUAGAGGCCCUCAGUUUACUUCGCAUUUUUGGAGAGCCGUACAGAGUGAGUUGGGGACCCGUGUAGAGCUCAACACCACAUUUCAUCUAUAGACCAAUGGGAAAUCGGAGUGGAUAGUUCAGAUCUUGGUGGACAUGCUAAGAGCAUGUGUGAUUGACUUUGGAGGGCAGUGGGAUCAAUUCUUACCUCUGGCCGAGUUUGCUUACAAUAAUAGUUAUCAGUCCAACAUCGAGAUGGCUCUAUUUGAGGCUUUGUAUGGUCGGCGAUGUCGUUCUCACAUCCGGUGGUUUAAGCCUGGCAAGGCUAAGUUAUAUGGUACUAAUUUGGUAAAGGAUGCCUUGGAGAAGGUAAAGUUAAUACAGGAGCGGCUUCGCACAGUAUAGUCCAUACAUAAGAGUUACGUGGAUCAGAAGGCGCGUGAUUUAUCAUUUAUGGUAGGCGAGAAGGUUCCCUUGAAAGUCUCACCGAUGAAGGGUUUUAUGAGAUUCAGGAAGAAGAGCAAGUUGAGCCCAAGGUUUAUAGGCCUAUUUGAGGUGUUGAGAUGAGUUGGGGAGGUUGCUUGUUAGCUUGCUUUACCUCCUAGCCUAUCGGGAGUUCAUCCGGUGUUCCACGUGUCUAUGUUUUGGAGGUAUCACACUGACUUGUCAUAUGUGUUAGACUUCAGCACGAUUCAGUUAGAUGAGAUCCUGGGUUAUGAGGAGGAGCCAGUUGCCAUUGUCGCUAGACAGGAUCGCUAGUUGAGAUCAAAGAGGAUUUCUGUAGUAAAGGAUCAGUAGAGGGGCCAACCAGUCGAGGAGGCGACCUAGGAGUCCGAGGAGGACAUGCAGAGCAGAUAUCCACACUUAUUCAGCACUCCGGGUAUGAUUCUAAAUCUGUUCGAGGGCGAACAUUUGUUUAAGAGGUGGAGAAUGUAACGACCUAACCGGUCAUUUUGCUUUCUAGAACCCCGUUCUUCUAAAUAAGACUUCCCAUACAUGCUUUUGCUAUUUUGUGACUUGCGGGGAUGGUAAGUUCAGGAUUUGGAAGGGUUUGGGUUGAAUUCGGAACACUUGCUUCCUUAAGGUUGGCUUAAAAGGCUAGAGUUGACUUCGGUCAACAUUUUGAGUAAACGACCUCGGAAUCAAGAUUUGACGGUUCCAUUAGGUUCGUAUGAUGAUUUCGGACUUGGACGUAUGUUCGGAUCGGGUUUUGGACGACCCGUUACAUUUCGGUGCCUAAUAGUAAAAGUUGGCAUUUGAGUAAAUUUCAUAAGUUUUGGCUGAAGUAGAUUUUUAAAUUCUAGACGUCUGUUUGGGAUUCUUAGCCUGGGAAUAGCUCCGUAUAGUGAUUCUGGACUUGGAAGCACGUUUGGAAGUGGAUUCGGAGGUCUGUAGGUCAUUUCGGGGUCAACUGGCGAAAGAUAGAAAUUUGAAGUUUUUGGAAAGCUUGACCGAGGGUGGACUUUUUGAUAUUGGGUUCGGAUUCCAGUUUCGAAAGUUGGAGUAGGUCCAUAAUGUCAUUUAAGACUUGCACACUAAAUUUGGCAUCAUUCCAAGUUGAUUUGAUAGGGAUCGGACGCGCAGAAGUGUUUUUAGAAGUUUUUGAGUUCAUGAGUUAAUCCAUGUGUUUUUGAAUCCGAUUCGUUGUUUUUGAUGUUAUUUCAGUGUUCCGAUCGUGCUAGCAAGUUUGUAGAUGUUGUUAUACUUGUGUGGGUGUUUGGUGUGGAGCUCCGAGGGCUCAAGUGAGUUUCGGAAGUUCGAAAGGAUGAAAAACACAUCAGUUUUCUAGUGUUUCUUGGCAGUAGUUGCAGAUCUCGCAAAUAAGAGAAUUUUUUCGGAAAUACAAUCCACACAUUUGUGAUAAGGAUUUUGCAAUUUCGAAGGAGCCCGACCUAAGCAGUGUUUGCAUUUGCGACACAUUGGCCAUAUUUGCGAUCUCAGCAGAGUCCGCAUUUGCGACUCUUUGGUCGCAUUUGCGACCUUGGCAGCCUAAGCCCAGGUUCGCAUUUGAGAUGGUUUUGUCGCAUUUGUGACCUUUGAAUUUUUGAACCAGGUAUCGCAAAUGCGACACCUGAGGCUUGUGCACAGCUUAUUAUUAUGAAACUUAGACCAUUUAGCUCAUUUUCUUUCAACUCUUGGGCGAUUUUUGGAGCUAUUGGAAGGGGGUUUUCGCUUAGCACCUUGAGGUAAGUAAUUUCUACGUAACUUGAGUUAAAUACAUAGAUUAUGGGUAGAUAAACAUGUAAAAAUUGGUAAAAAUCAAGGGUUUACAUGAAAACAUAGGUUUUUGAUGAAAAUUGAGAUUUAAGCCCGAAAUUGGUUAUUGAAUUUAGUAAAUAUCAUAUAUUUGAGUUUAUGGGGUUAUGUGUGUCAACUUUAUUCGAAUAUUUCCAGAAUCCGACACGUGGGCCUGGGGGUAAAUUUUAGAAACCUUACAUUUAGAGUUGGGUAAUCACUUUAAUAGCAGGGAUAUGAACUUUUGAGAAUAAAUUGAUUAAUUUAUAUAAUAUUUGACUAUUUUCGAAUCGUUUGGCACCAAAUUUGGGAGUUUGAGCACAACCUUGGACCGGAAUGUAGGCCUUGAGACAAGGUAAGUCUCUUUUCUAAUCUUGUAAGAGGGAAUUAAUCCCAUAGGUGAAUUAUAAUUAAUAUGUGCUCCUAUUUGUGGGGCUGCGUACGUACGAGGUGACGAGAGUUUGUACGUAGCUACUAAUUAUGCUAUUGUCCGGGUAGUCUAUGACCCAUAUCAUGCUAUACUUGAAAUGUUUGCACCCCUACUUGAUAAUCUAAAUGCUUCAGUCACAUUGGAAAUUGAUAAAAGAAUUGUAAAAGAUUAAAUUCACUUACUUGAACGUUGUGAAUGGAACACUUGACUGUAAAUGUGAAUUUGUGUUUUAUUUAAAAUGUCUUCUAUUUGUGGAGUGGGCUGAAUGCCUCGAUAGCAGAUAAAUACAUCUAUGUUUCGUGUCAUUUGACCCUCGUCAGUGCAUAGUUUAACUAUUAUGUUGGAUCGGGUUGUACGACCUCAGCAUGAUUUGCAUGAUAAAUUGUUGGAACUAUUCAUGAUUUAUAUUGCUUAAAUGCCUUGAGAUACAAACUGUUAAAUGAUGAAAAUAAACUUGGGACUUAAUAUUUGUGAAAGGAGUACUUACUAUUUCCGGUUAUUGAGUUUCAAUAUUAUUCAUGUAACCCAUGUUGUGAUGACCUGGCCAGUCGUCUCAUGAGUACCGCUCUGUUUCCUCCAUUUCAGCUUCUUUAUGCUUCGUUAUCCGUGUUUUGUGGUAUCGGGUUGGUCGGAUCGAGUUCGGAAUGAGUUUGGUGAAGUUUGAGACACUUAGUCUCUUUUAAAAAGGCUUAAGUUGGAAAAGUCAACCGGAUGUUGACUUAUGUGUUAGAGGGCUCAGAUAUGAGUUCUGAUGGUUCGGUUAUCUUCGGGAGGUAAUUUGUGACUUAGGAGCAUGAUCGGAAUGGGUUUUGGAGGUUCGAAGUAGACUAGGGCUUGAAUUGACGAAAUUGAUAUUUUGGCGAUUUCCGGUUGAUAGGCGAAAUUUUGAUAUAGGGGUCGGAACGGAAUUCCGAGAGUUGCAGUAGCUUAGGUGUGUCAAUUGGGAUAUGUGUGUAAAAUUUCAGGUCAUUCGGACGUGGUUUGGUUGGGUUUUUGAUUAAAAGCAUAUUUCAGAAGAUUUUAGAAACUUAGGCUUGAAUCUGAUGUGAUUUGGUAGAUUUGAUGUUAGUUAGUGUGUUUUGAUGAUUGGAACAAGUUUGAAUAAGGUAUUGGGUUAUGUUUGUGCUUUUGGUUGAGGUCCCGGGGGCCUCGGGAUGAUUUCGGGUGGUUAACGGGGAAGUUGAAGUGUAAUUGCAGCUGCUGAAGUUUUGCUGCUUCUAGUGUUUUCGCACCUGCGGUUUGAGGACCGCAGGUGCGGCACCGCAUAUGCAUUAGAUUGGCCGCAGAAGCGGAUCUUGGGAACAAUGUCUGGGACCGCAGAUGCUGUAGAGGGACCGCAGAUGCGGUUUAGGCUGGAUUAAUGAAUUUCCGCAGAAGCGGAGUUUUGACCGCAAAUGCGGUACUGCAGAUGUGGUGGUUGUGGCGCAGAUGCGGAAAAGCCUAGGCAGAAUGUAUAUAUUUCUUCCUUCGCAAUUUUUGAAGGGUUUAACUAUUUUUAAACUCGGAAUUGGGAGCUUUGGGCAAUUUUGAGGAGAGGAAUCAAAGGGACUUUGUUAAGGUAAGGAUUUUGGACCUAAAACACAUUUCUAUGGUAAUAUUUCAUGGAUUAAUACUGAAAUUAAAGGAAUUAAAGGGCUAAAAAUGGAGUAUUAGGGUUUGAGUUUAAGAGGCCUUAAAUUGAGGAUUUGAGGGGUGAUUUGAACUCCGAUUUUGGUAUUCUUGAUAUUUAUAGACCGUGGGGAGAUAAGGAAUCUAAUGAUAUGAAAAUUUCUGAGUUUCGAGAAGUGGGUCCGAUGCUCGAGUUUUGCUAAUUUCAGGAUUUUUGGUAUUUUACGAUUGUUUUCGCUUCGGCUUCGUUCCCUUAGCAUAUUUUGAUGCCGUGAUUCUGAUUUUUAAUAGAUUCGACGCAAGUGGAGGCCGAUUCGAGGAGAAAAGGUGUCGCGGAGUAGUAUUUUCACUGGUUUGAGGUAAGUAACCAUUGUAAAUCUAGAAGUGAUGGUACAAACCCUGGUAUUUGACUUGUUUUAAUAAAUGUCGUGAUGCACAUGCUAGGUGACGAGCGUGUGGGCGUGCACCGGUAGGGAUUGUGACCUGGUCCGUUCUGUAGUGACUAUUAAGCCACGUAUUUGAUUUGGAAAUACUAUGUUAUUCCGUAUUUUGGAUGUUUAUACUGUUUUAUGGGUUGUAUGUCAUGUUUGGGGCCUUGUGCCGACCUGUAGAAACCCUUAGGGGCAUUUUGACCGUUUUUCCUCACUUUACUUGCUAAAGGCAUAUCCUCAGUCGUGUUUUACCUGUUUAAAAGCUAAAAAUGGUUUUAUCGCUUUACUCCUAAUUGUGAGGACUAUUUGGGCUGAGUUCUCUGAUUCCUGUUGUUGUGCCCGAGAGGUUGUGAGGUUAAGGACUGAGAGAGGUUGAGAACCCACUUGUGAGGAUAUUAUAUGUAUAUAUAUUAUGGAUCAGGCUGCACGCCGCAACGAUACUUAUAUGGAUCGGGCUGCAUACCGCAACGAUAUAUAUAUUGGAUCGGGCUGCACGCCGCAGCGAUAUUACGCUUGGGUUGUAGGAGACCCUCCGGAGUCUUCACACCCCCAGUGAACGUAGUCGACUAUAAAUAUAUGGAUCGGGCUGCACGCCACAACGAUUACUACGAUUUCUAUUAUUAUGAGAUAUAAAUGAGCCGAGUGUUGAGAGUGAGCACUAAGUGACGAGAGUUGAGUCAUGAGUGAUUGAGAGGCUGCCUGAGGGGCCAGGUUCUGAGUGAUUCCUUGCCAAAGAGGCCUUGUCAUGAUGUUUUCACUGAUUUCACUUUUCUUUUAAAUAAGCCUCUGUUUGAUAUACUGCUAAGUAAUUGGUUCCAAAUGUUUAAACUAGAAAUGUGGUUUUAUAACGGAAACUGAUUUUUGAACUGCAAAGAUGACAUGUUGUUUCGUUGGUUAUUCCGUUAUGUAUUUUUGAACUGCUCGUCACUACUUUCAGACCUUAUUUACUUUAGUUACUUACUGAGUUGGCGUACUCAUGUUACUCCCUGCACCUUGUGUGCAGAUCCAGGUGCCCGAGCAGCCGAGUGAGCAUUUUUCAGCUGGUUCAUUUUUUUGUCGGGGAUUUCGAGGUAGCUGCAUGGUGUUCGCAACCCUGUUCUAUCCCUUCUAUCUUGUUAUCUUUUCAGUAUUUUCUAGACUAUCUAUGUAGUAGGAUGUUCGAACUUGGAUUAGAGGCCCUAGACUCGUGGCACCAGAUCAUUAGUCUAUGUAGUUUAUUAUUAUUUUGACUUCCACAUAUUUUCUGUCAUUUUAAACGUUUAUUAUGAAAUCGUUGUUUAAAACUCGUGUUGGAAAUGGUUUCUUACUAAAGGAAAUGGGUUGUGAUUAGUGACUGGUUAGCUUGCCUAGUAAUAUGAUAGGCGCCAUCACGACCGGUAUUUGAGGUCCUGGCAAGUUGGUAUCAGAGCCUAGGUUACAUAGGUCUCGCGAGUCAUGAGCCUGUUUAGUAGAGUCUAGCAGAUCGGUAUGGAGACGUCUAUAUUUAUCCUCUAGAGGCUGCAGAACCUUCAGGAAAAACAUCAUAUUCUUGAAAUUCUUGUCGUGCGAAUUUGUUGAUCCGAGUAUUAAACUUCUGAUGUUCCAUUCUCUCAUAGAUGGUGAGGACAUGUGCUACUGGGCAGGGCGGACGACUGCCAGUACCACCAACUGGGCCACCAGAGGCCGAGGUUGCGGUUGAGGCAGGGGCAGGGGCAGAGCAACUAGAGCAGCACUGGCAGAUCCACCAGCUGCCCCAGUUCCGGAUCAGGUCCCGGUUUUGGAUGCUACAGUAGCCCCAGUUCCGGAUCAGCUGUGCCUAUUGUGAUCCCAGGUCUCCAGGAGGCUUUAGCUCAGAUCUUAUCUGUGUGUACCGGUUUAGCUCAGGUGGUCUCAGCUACUACGGCCAUAGCUACUUCCUAGGCUGGGGGAGGCACCCAGACUCCCAUUGCUCGCACACCUGAGUAGGUAGUGUAGGGAUUACAGACACCGGGGGCACCUCCAGCCCGGCUGGUUGCACCAGCUCAAAAGUUUGUAGUACCAGUUAUGUCGGAUGAUGAGCAGCGUCGACUUGAGAGGUUUGGUAGGCUCCAGCCUCCACGAUUCAGCGGUUCAGAGGGCGAGGAUGCCUAGGGUUUCUUGGAUAAGUGUCAGCGGAUGCUUCGUACAACAGGGAUUCUUGAGACUAGUGGUGUGGCAUUUACUACAUUUCAGUUUUCUGGGGAUGCCUUCACUUGGUGGGAGGCGUAUGAGAGGCAUAGGCUUGUUAGUGCAGCGCCCCUUACUUGGCAACAAUUCUCUGUUCUCUUCCUAUAGAAGUAUGUACCACAGUCGCGCCGAGAGGAGCUGCGCAGACAGUUUGAGCAGCUGCAUUAGGGGGAGAUGACGGUGGUAUAGUAUGAGAUGUGGUUCUCUGAGUUAGCCCGUCAUGCGGUUUGGAUGGUUCCCACAGAUGGAGGGAGGAUUAGGAGGUUUGUUGAUGGCCUAACGUAUCAUCUACGGAUUCUCAUGACUAGAGAGAGGGUGACAGGUGCUACCUUCGAGGAGGUUGUUGAUAUCGCCAGUGAGAUUGGGACUGUACGCCGGCAGGAGCGAGAGGAGAGAGAGGUCAAGAGGCCUUAGGGAUCUGGUGGUUUUAGUAGUGCUCCUUCGAGGGGUCAGUUCCAGCAGGGCAGAGGCCGUUCUUUCAGACAGGCUCAGUCAGCUUGCCUAGGUUACCGUAAGGCAUUUUCGGGUCAUGGUUAUCAUAGAUCUCAGCAGGGCCAGUCAUUACUUAGUGCCCUUCCAUCUUAGAGCUCAUCUCGUGCUCCGUCGGUCCAGGGUUCUUCCAUGCCAGGUCCUUCUACUGGUCAAUCCGGUGCCAAGGGUUCCCUUCAGUCCCCAUAUCCAACACCGGGGAGUUGUUAUGAGUGCGGAGAGUUUUGAUAUAUGAGGAGGCAGUGCCCUCGACUUCAUGAUAGUCAAUCUCAGCAGAGAGGUUAGCCCUCGACUUCUGCUCCAGUUACUUCACCACUCGCCCAGCCUGCUAGGGUUGGAGGUCAGGCAACUAGGGGUCGCCCCAAAAGGGGAGGUCGAUCAGGCGGCGGUCAGGCUUGUUUGUAUGCUAUCCCAGGUAGACCAGAUGCUAUUGCUUCAGAUGCUGUCAUUACAGGUAUUAUUUCAGUCUGCCACAGAGAUGCCUCUGUAUUAUUUAAUCCCGGUUCCACCUUUUCUUAUGUGUCCUCAUACUUUGCUCAUUAUUUGGGUACGCCCCAUGAGUUUCUUGCUUUACUUGUUCAUGUAUCUGCCCCAUGAGUUUCUUGCUUUACUUGUUCAUGUAUCUGCCCCGGUAGGCAAUACUUUUGUUGUAGACCGUGUGUACCGGUCAUGUGUGGUGACAAUUGGGGGUCUGGAGACCCGAGUGGAUCUGUUAUUACUAAGUAUGGUGGAUUUCGAUGUCAUUUUUGGCAUGGAUUGGUUAUCUCUGUAUCGUGCUAUUCUAGACAGUCAUGCCAAGACAGUCACUUUGGCUAUGCCGGAUAUGCCACGGAUCGAGUGGCGAGGUGUGACGAUUACGUUCCUAGUAGAAUGAUCUCUUUCUUGAAGGCCCAGCGUAUAGUUGGGAAGGGUUGUCUUUCAUAUCUAGUGUUUGUGAGGGAUGUUAGAGCUGAGGCUCCCAGAAUUGAUUUUGUCCCAGUCGUGAGAGAUUUUCCAGAUGUUUUUUCUUGCAGACCUGCCGGGCAUGCCACCGAACAGGGAUAUUGAUUUUGGUAUUGAUCUGGUACCGAGCACUCAGCCCAUUUCUAUUCUACCGUAUCGUAUGGCACCAGCGAAGUUGAGGGAGUUAAAGGAGCAGCUUCAAGAACUCCUUGAUAAAGGGUUCGGCCUAGUGUGUCACUUUGGGGUGUGCCGGCUUUGUUUAUGAAGAAGAAGGAUGGCACAAUGAGAAUGUGCAUUGAUUAUAGGCAAUUGAACAAGGUAACAAUUAAGAACAAGUAUCCUUUGCCUCGCAUUGAUGAUUUGUUUGACCAGCUUCAGGGAGCGAGAGUGUGCUCCAAGAUUGAUCUCCGUUCGGUCUAUCACCAGUUGAAGAUCAGGGAUUCAGAUAUACUUAAUAUGGCUUUCAGGACCCGAUAUGGUCAUCAUGAGUUCUUGUUGAUGUCUUUUGGGCUGACCAAUGCCCCAACAAUGUUCAUGCAUUUGAUGAACAACGUGUUCCGGCCUUAUCUUGAUUCUUUUGUCAUAGGCUUCAUUGAUGAUAUUCUGGUGUAUUCGCAUAGUCAGGAGGAGCACGCGGAGCAUUUGAGAGUGGUAUUGUAGAGUUUGAGGGAGGAGAAACUUUAUGCAAAAUUCUCCAAGUGUGAGUUUGGCUUGGUUCAGUGGCUUUCUUGGGGCACGUGGUAUCCAGCGAGGGUAUUUAGAUUGAUCCGAAGAAGAUACAGGCGGUUCAGAGUUGGCCUAGGCCGCCCUCAGCCACAGAGAUUCGCAGCUUUCUUGGUUUGAUAGGCUAUUAUCGCUGGUUUGUUUAGGGAUUCUCAUCAAUCGCAUCGCCUUUGACCAAAUUAACUCAGAAGGGUGCUCCAUUUGUAUGGUCGGACGAGUGUGAGGAGAGCUUUCAGAAGCUCAAGACAGCUUUGACCACAACUCCAGUGUUGGUUUUACCAUCAGCUUCAGGCUCUUAUACCGUGUAUUGUGAUGCGUCGAGAGUUGGGAUUGGUUGUGUGUUGAUGCAGGAGGGUAGAGUUAUUGCUUAUGCUUCUCAUCAGUUGAAGCCCCAUGAGGAGAACUACCCCGUUCAUGAUUUGGAGUUGGCUUCCAUAGUUCACGCAUUGAAGAUUUGGAGACAUUACUUGUAUGGCGUAUCUUGUGAAGUGUUCACUGAUCAUCGCAGUCUUCAGCAUUUGUUCAAGCAAAAGGAUCUUAAUUUGAGGCAGCAGAGGUGGUUGGAGUUGCUUAAGGAUUAUGAUAUUACUAUAUUGUAUCAUCCGGGAAAGACCAAUGUGGUGGCCGAUGCUUUGAGCCGAAAGACAGUGAGUAUGGAGAGUUUGGCAUAUAUCCCAGUUGGGGAGAGACCCCUUGCGGUUGAUGUUCAAGCAUUGGCCAAUCGGUUCGUGAGGUUAGAUAUUUCGGAGCCCAGUCGGGUGUUGGCUUGUGUGGUUUCUCGGUCUUCCUUAUAUGAUCGCAUUAGAGAGCGCCAGUAUGAUGAUUCGCAUUUUCUUGUCCUUAGGGACAGAGUUCAGCAUGAUGAUGCCAGGGAUGUCACCAUCGGUGAUGAUGGGGUGUUGAGGAUGCAGGGCCGAAUUUGUGUGCCCAAUGUGGAUGAGCUUCGGGAGUUGAUUCUGGAGAAGGCCCAUAGCUCGCGGUAUUCCAUUCAUCCGGGUGCCGCGAAGAAGUAUCAGGAUUUGAGACAACACGAUUGGUGGAGGAAUGAAGAAAGAUAUUGCGGGAUUUGUAGCUCGGUGUCUCAAUUGUCAGCAGGUGAAAUAUGAUCAUUAGAGACCGGGUGGCUUACUUCAGCAGAUGGUUAUUCCUGAGUGGAAGUGGGAGAAGAUCAGUAUGGACUUUGUUGUUGGACUUCCACGGACUUUGAAGAAAUUUGAUGCUAUUUGGGUGAUUGUGGAUCGGCUGACCAAGUCCGCGCACUUCAUUCCUGUGUGUACUACAUAUUCUUCAGAGCGGUUGGCAGGGAUCUAUAUCCGGGAGAUUGUUCGUUUGCAUGGUGUUCCAGUUUCCAUCAUUUCGGAUAGAGGUACUCACUUUACCUCACAGUUUUGGAGGGCCGUACAGAGAGAGUUGGGUACUCAGGUUGAGUUGAGCACAACUUUUCAUCCUCAGAUGGACGGACAGUCCGAGUGUACUAUUCAUAUAUUGGAGGACAUGUUGCGUGCUUGCGUCAUGGAUUUCGAAGGAUCAUGGGAUGAGUUUCUACCACUCGCAGAGUUUGCUUAUAACAACAGCUACCUGUCAAGUAUUAAGAUGGCUCCAUAUGAGGCUUUGUAUGGGAGGCGGUGUAGAUCUCCAGUUGGUUGGUUCGAGCCCGGUGAGGCUAGGCUAUUAGAGACUGAUCUGGUGCAGGAUGCUUUGGAGAAGGCGAAGGUGAUUCAGGAGAGGCUUCAUGCAGCGCAGUUGAGACAAAAGAGUUAUCCCAAUAGGAAGGUUCCAGAUGUGUCCUACAUGGUUGGCGAGAAGGUUCUGUUAAAGGUUUCACCCAUGAAGGGUGUCAUGAGAUUUAAGAAGAAAGGGAAAUUGAGUCUGCGGUUCAUUGGGCUUUUUGAGGUGCUUCGGAGGAUUGAUGAGGUGGCUUAUGAGCUUGCUUUGCCGCCCAGCUUGUCUAGUGUGCAUCCGAUAUUUCGUGUUUCCAUGCUCCGGAAGUAUAUUGGAGAUAUAUCUCAUGUUUUGGACUUCAGCACGGUUCAGUUGGAUGAUGAUUUUGACCUAUGAUGUGGAGCCAGUAGCUAUUUAGGGUCGUCAGGUUCGAAAGUUGAGGUUAAAAGAUAUAGCGUUAGUGAAAGUGUGGUGGAGGGGUCGGUUCGUGGAGGAGGCUACCUGGGAGGCCGAGCGGGAGUUGCGGAGCAGAUAUCCCCACCUAUUUGAGGCUUCAGGUAUGUUUCUUGACUCGUUCGAGGACGAACGUUUGUUUAACUUGGGGAGGAUGUGAUGACUCGGCUAGUCAUCUCAUGAGUACCGCUCCGUUUCCUCCAUUUCAGCUUCUUUAUGCUUCGUUAUCCGUGUUUUGUGGUAUCGGGUUGGUCAGAUCGAGUUCGGAAUGAGUUUGGUGAAGUUUCAUACACUUAGUCUCUUUUAAGAAGGCUUAAGUUUGAAAAGUCAACCGGAUGUUGACUUAUGUGUUAGAGGGCUCAGAUAUGAGUUCUGAUGGUUCGCUUAGCUUCGGGCGGUGAUUUGUGACUUAAGAGCGUGAUCAGAAUGGGUUUUGGAGGUUCGGAGUAGACUAGGGCUUGAAUUGGCGAAAUUGAUAUUUUGGUGAUUUUCGGUUGAUAGGCGAGAUUUUGAUAUAGGGGUCGGAAUGGAAUUCCGAGAGUUGCAGUAGCUUAGUUGUGUCAAUUGGGAUAUAUGUGCAAAAUUUCAGGUCAUUCGGACGUGGUUUGGUUGGGUUUUUGAUCAAAAGCGUAUUUCGGAAGAUUUUAGAAACUUAGGCUUGAAUCCGAUGUGAUUUGGUAGAUUUGAUGUUGUUUGGUGUGUUUUGAUGAUUGGAACAAGUUUGAAUAAGGUAUUGGGUUAUGUUUAUGCUUUUGGUUGAGGUCCCGGGGGCCUCGGGAUGAUUUCGGGUGGUUAACGGGGAAGUUGAAGGUAAUUGCAGCUGCUGAAGUUUUGUUACUUCUAGUGUUUUCGCACCUGCGGUUUGGGGAUCGCAGGUGCGGCACCGUAUAUGCGUUGGAUUGGCCGCAGAAGCGGAUCUUGGUUAGAAUGUCUAGGACCGCAGAUGCGGUAGAGGGACCGCACCUGCGGAGUCGCAGAUGCGGCUAGUGGACCGCAGAUGCAGUUUAGGCUGGAUUAAUGAAUUUCCGCAGAAGCGGAGUUUUGACCGCAAAUGCGGUACUGCAGAUGCGGUGGGUGUGGCGCAGAUGCGGAAAAGCCUGGGCAGAAUGUAUAUAUUUCUUCCUUCGCAAUUUUUGACGGGUUUAACUAUUUUUAAACUCGGAAUUGGGAGUUUUGGGAAAUUUUGAGGAGAGGAAUUAAAGGGACUUCGUUAAGGUAAGGAUUUUGGACCUAAAACACACUUCUAUGGUAAUAUUUCAUGGAUUAAGACUGAAAUUAAAGGAAUUAAAGUGCUAAAAAUGGAGGAUUAGGCUUGAGUUUAAGAGGACUUAAAUUGAGGAUUUGAUGGGUCAUUUGAACUAUGAUUUUGGUAUUCUUGAUACGUAUAGACUCGUGGGGAGAUAAGGAAUCUAAUUAUGUGAAAAUUUCUGAGUUUCGAGAAGUGGGCCCGGGGCUCGGGUUUUGCUAAAUUCAGGAUUUUUGGUAUUUUUUGAUUGUUUUCCCUUGGGCUUCGUUCUCUUAGUAUAUUUUGACGUCGUGAUUCUGAUUUUGAAUAGAUUCGACGCGAGUGGAGGCGAAUUCGAGGGGCAAAGGCGUUGCAGAGUAGUAUUUUCACCGGUUUGAGGUAAGUAACCAUUGUAAAUCUGGAACUGAGGGUACAAACCCCGGUAUUUGACUUGUUUUGAUAAAUGCGGUGACGCACAUGCUAGGUGACGAGCAUGUGGGCGUGCACCGGUAGGGAUUGUGAUCUGGUCCAUCCCAUAGCGACUAUUAAGCCACGUAUUUGAUUUGUAAAUACUAUGUUAUUCCGUAUUUUGAAUAUUUGUAUUGUAUUAUGGGUUGUACGCCAUGUUUGGGGCUUUGUGCCGACCUGUAGAAACCCUUAGGGGCAUUUUGACCUUUUUCCUCACUUUACUUGCUAAAAGCAUAUCCUCAGUCGUGUUUUACCUGUUUAAAAGCUAAAAUUGAUUUUAUCGCUUUACUCCUAAUUGUGAAGACUGUUUGGGCUGAGUUCUCUGAUUCCUGUUGUUGUGCCCGAGAGGUUGUGAGGUUAAGGACUGAGAGAGGUUGAGAACCCAAUUAUGAGGAUAGUAUAUGUAUAUAUAUAUUAUGGAUCGGGUUGCACACCGCAGCGAUACUUAUAUGGAUCGGGCUGCAUGCCGCAACGAUAUAUAUAUUGGAUCGGGCUGCACGCCGCAGCGAUAUGACGCUUUUGCUGUAGGAGCCCCUCCGGAGUCUUCACACCCCCAGUGAGCGUAGUCGACUAUAAAUAUAUGGAUCGGGCUGCACGCCGCAGCGGUUACUACGAUUUCUAUUAUUAUGAGAUAUAAAUGAGCCGAGUGCUGAGAGUGAGUAAUGAGUGACGAGAGUUGAGUCACGAGUGACUGAAAGGCUGCCCGAGGGGCCAGGUUCUGAGUGAUUCCUUGCCCGAGAGGCCUUGUCAUGAUGUUUUCACUGAUUUCACUUUUCUUUUAAAUAAGCCUCUAUUUGAUAUACUGCUAUGUAAUUGGUUCCAAAUGUUUAAACUGGAAAUGUGGUUUUAUAACAGAAACUGAUUUUUUGAACUGUAAAGAUGACAUGUUGUUUCGUUGGUUAUUCCGUUAUGUAUUUUUGAACUGCUCUUUACUACUUUCAGACCUUAUUUACUUUAGUUACUUACUGAGUUGGUGCACUCACGCUACUCCCUGCAUCUUGUGUGCAGAUCCACGUGCCCGAGCGGCCGAGUGAGCAUUUUUCAGCUGGUUCAGUUUUCUGUCGGGGAUUUCGAGGUAGCUGCAUGGUGUUCGCAACCCUGUUCUCUCCCUUCUAUCUUGUUAUCUUUUCAGUAUUUUCUAGACUAUCUAUGUAGUAGGAUGUUCGGACUUGCAUUAGAGGCUCUAGACUCGUGACACCAGAUCAAUUGGGCUGUGUAGUUUAUUAUUAUUUUUACUUCAGCAUAUUUUCUGUCAUUUUAAACGUUUAUUAUGAAAUCGGUGUUUAAAACUCAUGUUGGAAAUGGUUUUUUACUAAAGGAAAUAGGUUGUGGUUAGUGGACUGGUUGGCUUGCCUAGUAAUGUGAUAGGUGUCAUCACUACCGGUAUUUGGGGUCGUGACACAUGCUUAGUAUAUAAUUUUGAUAUAUCAUUGUUAGCCCAUAGUAAGUGUCAAAGUCGACCCCUCGUCAAUAUUUCUUCGAGGUUAGACUGGAUACUUACUGGGUACAUGUUGUUUAUGUACUCACGCUACACUACUACACUUAAAAGUGCAUUAUCUGAGGCAGGUACAUUUGGUGCGCACACGCUUGACUUCCGGUACGAGACUAUACAGUGAGCUGCCUUUCCAAGCCGUUCUGCAGCAGCCGAAGUCUUCCUUUUGUUAUAUUUUUCUGUCAAUUUCAUUUCAGACAAUAGAUUAGUAUUUUUUUAUAUAUUCUACUAGAGUGCUCAUACACUUGUAACAUCGGGUCUUGGCACACACUGGUAGACUUAUGAUUUUGGGUUGUAUUUCUACGAUUAUGACUGCAUUUAGCUGCCUUUGUUCUAAUUAUUUUAAAUACGUUAUCCCUUAAAUCUUUUAAAUUAAGGAAGUUAUUUACUUGAAAAAUAUAUUAAAGUGGGAAAUCACUAGAUUCUUCACUGUUGGCUUUCCUAGCAAUGGUGGUGGGCACCAUCACGGUCUAAAAUGAAAUUGGACCGUGACAUAAUUCUUUUGUCAUCAAAAUAUUAAUUGUGAAACCUUAAGCAUUUAUCCCUUAAUGAAGCAAUGAAACAGGAAACCAAUAACUCAUUUAAGCCAUGAAGAUUCAUCCAAGCAAAUUAAACCAAACAUUACGCAAACAGUAAUCAAUAGAACAAAACUGAAUAAAUAAAUACUACUAAGACACCCCAAAACAGAGGAACAAAACACUAACUCAUACGAGCAACAAAUACAAAGAAAAGACUGAUUAAUGAGAUUAUGAAAAUAAACAAAAGCAUGACAUUAAGUGAAGAAAAAGUAGAGAAAAGGGAGAAAUAAACCUCAAAUAAAUCUGAAAUGCAACUGUUUGACAAUUCGGAGGUGCGACGCGAUAGAACCUCAAGCAAGAAUCUCCAUGGGAAACUAGAGAACAUGACCUAGAUCGGAAAAUCGGACAAAGAUAUCGAAUAGGCACCUCUACUAGAACUGAGAACGACCUCUCGGCAACUUCGAAACUCGUCGAAAACCCAAAAGUGAAAAAAUAAGCUAAGCACUUUCUUUACAGCGAAAACGCGACAACUUUGGAACUGUUUCGAAGCUGCUCUAACAUGAGUUUCGAGGCUGGAUUUUGCUUAAGUUUGGGGCGAGUUUAAGGAUUGUUUUGAGGAUGGAGUUGAGCAGAUUUUUAGCUUAUAUUUCGGGUCAUUCCGGGUGCUUUUUUGGUCCAUUUUUGGCUGGUUCUUGGUAGUAGUUGGCAGAUGAAUUUUCGGGUUGACUCUCAUAGGUUUUGGAGAUGGUUUAAAGCUAAUUUUCAGCUGGUUUGGAGCUGCAUUUCAGAGCUCAGUUUUGGCGUCGUUUUUGACAGCUCUUCACGGUAAGUUUGAGGUGGGCUUGGGGUGUUCAUGGAUAACUUGAGAUCUAAUAUUAAUGGAUGAAAAUUAGGUGUUAUUAUAGAGGUUUCAUGGUAGAGAUAAGGAAGAAGAAGAAGAAAGUGGAAGACUCCUGAUUUGGUGUUUGUCGUGGCUCUUUUUUGCACUUUUGCUCUAUUUUUUGUUCCCUCUGUUCGUUCCCCCUCUCUAUGUGUGUGUGCGAUCUUAUCUAUUCUCAAUUUCUUUUUGCUAGCGUGUGGUCCCAACCCCAUAAGAAAAUGUCGUGUCCC